GAAAAAUUUUCCCUCAGACAAAAUUCCGAAGUGAGACAACUCCGCCGACUGUCGACCGCCGACCGCCAUUCUCGUCCGAUAGCUCCAACCUCCGACACUGUCGGCACUUCCAACCUCUGCCGCCAACACCCCCUCCAUCCUCUGUCGUCGUCGCUCCAACAGCCGCCGCCGUGAAGAAGUGAGUACAGUGGUGUGAAAAUUUUAAGGCGAGCUGCGUAUCGCAUUAUGGGCGUAUGCCUUUCUUUGGCCAAAGAUGCUGCAGAAACACUGAAGCUCAACAUGGCCAUAAUCCUGUUACCAGUCUGCAGGAACACCGUCACCUGGCUCAGGAACAAGACCAAGUUAGGCGUCGCCAUGGUAAUUUAUGCUUGUGAAAGGCUGCUCAGAGCAUUCAGAUCUAGCAUUAAGCCUGUCAAGAUUCUUAAGGUGGCAGUCUAUCUUGGAAAUGUUUUGUCCCUUCAUAUGUCGAAGCCACAGGGGUUCAGAUACAGAAGUGGUCAAUACAUGUUUCUCCCUUUGAAUGGUAAUUGGAAAAGAAAAAAAAAACAUUAUUGUUUUGGUCACUAAUUUCUGUUUUUCCCAUUCAUUAGAGUCGGCAUGUCUCCACUAUUUCUUCCUUGUUCGAAUUUUCCUUACUGUUUUUGAAUUUUGACGGGCAACAAAGCUACGCUUAUUGAGCGUAUCAAGGAGCAUAUUGAUGUUGUCAAUGGUGGUGGAGAGAAGAAGUAUCCUGUAUCUAGUUUUGUAUUGAACUGCAUGCAAAGGUGAUGACUUCUGAUUCUAUCAUCACUUGAUAAAAGCUAUUUCAGUGUUGGUUUGAGACUUAAUUCUAAUUUGUUAUUCUGAGCUCAACUUCCUGAAUUUAUGCAGAGUUCUGUGCUUGCCUUGGAAGAUUCAGCAAUAGAUGCUGAUCAAGUUGAGAACAUCAUUAUGUUUUGCCCAACAAAGGAGGAGAUUGAAAUGCUUAUGGUAUUUGAAGAUGCACCCUACUCCAUUAACGAAAUAGAUGAAGUUCGAGAGUUGUGGACACAUUACUUUAGUAAAGAGUGCGUGUAACU